CCGCAGAUCUUGAUGGUGUCGAUACUCUCGAGGGAAACUCUAUGUAUGAAUUCGCCGAUCAUCUUGCUCCCCAACCAUAUAGUAUAAGCUUCGUACUCGCAGGCCAAGCUGUAUAAAAGAUCGGAAGGGCACACGUCU